rnacentral:rRNA from 1 species
GACGAACGCUGGCGGCGUGCUUAACACAUGCAAGUCGAACGGAAAGGCCCUGCUUUUGUGGGGUGCUCGAGUGGCGAACGGGUGAGUAACACGUGAGUAACCUGCCCUUGACUUUGGGAUAACUUCAGGAAACUGGGGCUAAUACCGGAUAGGAGCUCCUGCUGCAUGGUGGGGGUUGGAAAGUUUCGGCGGUUGGGGAUGGACUGGCGGCUUAUCAGCUUGUUGGUGGGGUAGUGGCUUACCAAGGCUUUGACGGGUAGCCGGCCUGAGAGGGUGACCGGCCACAUUGGUACUGAGAUACGGCCCAGACGCCUACGGGAGGCAGCAGUGGGGAAUAUUGCACAAUGGGCGGAAGCCUGAUGCAGCAACGCCGCGUGCGGGAUGACGGCCUUCGGGUUGUAAACCGCUUUCGCCUGUGACGAAGCGUGAGUGACGGUAAUGGGUAAAGAAGCACCGGCUAACUACGUG